AGAGGGGUGCAAGCGUUAAUCGGAAUUACUGGGCGUAAAGGGCGCGUAGGGCGGAUAAUUAAGUUAGUAGUGAAAUCCCUGGGGCUUAACCUAGGACUUGCUUCUAAUACUGGUUGUCUAGAGUGCAGUAGAGGGAAGUGGAAUUUCCGGUGUAGCGGUGAAAUGCGUAGAUAUCGGAAGGAACACCAGUGGCGAAGGCGACUUCCUGGACUGCAACUGACGCUGAGGCGCGAAAGCGUGGGGAGCGAACAGGAUUAGAUACCCUGGUAGUCCACGCCGUAAACGAUGAGAACUAGCCGUUGGUAGGUUAAUACCUAUCAGUGGCGCAGCUAACGCGUUAAGUUCUCCGCCUGGGGAGUACGGUCGCAAGAUUA
rnacentral:rRNA from 1 species